UACAAAUAUAGAUCAUAUCUAUCCAUCUCUUUCUCUCUUUAUAAUCUAAUGUUUCACCCCUAGAACUUCACAAAAGAAGAUGUGAAGGUCAGCUGUGGUUCCAGAUUUUUAACGAUCGUUGUUUUCUUCCCUGAAUGUUAAGAAAUGCCCAAUCGUACUUCAGCAACUAGCAACUGUAGCUAAAGGAAUUGGAACAUAGAGAAUAUACUGCCAGGGACAAAAGGAAGAAAACAGCCCAGGGUGAUGGUGCAUGAAAGCCAGGUCUGUUUUGGUGGAAAGAAGACAAGUGAUUCUACUGAACAUCUGUAAUACACAGCUGCACGCUGGCAUUUGGGUAAGAUGUGAUUGAUGGCGUACUUGAAUGUAGAUUUACAAAUGUGGCCCAAGGCCAGUUUCCCCUUAUUUUGACAAUGAAAACACUGUAAUUCUUAAUAUUAAAUGUUUACUGGGAUGGGAAACAAAAAUGCAGUUUCUAGCAGCAUGCAGAGAAUAGGAAUUGGUAAAUUAAUCAGUGUUACUACCCACCCAUAGGUCCC
rnacentral:lncRNA from 1 species